AUUUUUGCCAUUUUCAAGAUCAAGGAGGGUAGGGUUCAAAAGAGAGAUAAAAAUUGAAAGGCGCACGGUUUGCAAUGUGUUUGCCAAAGAAAAGAAUCCAAAGGCUCAAAGUGGGUGACUAAAAAUAACAUCUAUGCAGGGAUAGGCUAUUUUUUAAUUUAAUUUAAGGGUUUUACUAAUAAGGAUCAAAAAACACAAAAAAAAAGUCUUUACACUUGAUGGACCAACCCAUCCAAAAUUAACAGAGACGAAAAUAAAAAUUAGGCCUAACCCAAUCAGAACAAAAUACCUGGCCCUCUUCCCAAUUGUUAUUACAUAUAAAUCAUUCCAAGGGUUUCCUAAUAUCAUUUCCUUUAUCCUCUGCC
rnacentral:lncRNA from 1 species